CAGUAGCCCGGGAAUACGGAGGGUGCAAGCGUUAUCCGGAUUUAUUGGGUUUAAAGGGUCCGUAGGCGGACUUAUAAGUCAGUGGUGAAAGCCUGUCGCUUAACGAUAGAACUGCCAUUGAUACUGUAAGUCUUGAGUAUAUUUGAGGUAGCUGGAAUAAGUAGUGUAGCGGUGAAAUGCAUAGAUAUUACUUAGAACACCAAUUGCGAAGGCAGGUUACCAAGAUAUAACUGACGCUGAGGGACGAAAGCGUGGGUAGCGAACAGGAUUAGAUACCCCAGUAGUCCCUGUCUCUUAUACA
rnacentral:rRNA from 1 species